UAUGAGAACAAUCCUACCUGGUUAUAUCCUUGACAAAAUUUCUUGAGAUUUAUUGAUAUUGUUCUUGGAUACUUAUAGAGUCAAACUCUGCAGGCAAUUGGUUGGGCUACAUGAUAGACACUUUAAUAUAUCUUCUUGGAAGCCGCUUAGUGUUCCAAUGAAUAAUUGUCGCUGGUGUGGUGCACACCUUCAUUGUUUGGUGGGCUGCUUCCUGCCUGGUGUGGUUGAAGAAUUUUCAGAGAUGUAUGUACCAUGAUGAUUGAGGAGGCGUAUGAAAUAAAUCUGAAGAAAUAAGUAAGUCACCUCCAUCAGCGAGGCUGCGAACAACUCUUGGUGCCCCUGUUAACCUCCUCAAUGUUUGCGUUGUUUGCCUGUCGGUCAAAUGCCCACUAUUCAGCAGACAGAUACAGUGUCCAGAUCGUUUAGGAACCAGCGUUACUUCAAAAAAAGAUAGGACCUGAUACACAUUACAUUCAUGGACUACUGAUAUACCC